CCGUUCUUAAAUGUAAAUAAUUCAAAAAGUCAUCAAAGGAGGUCUUGAUAGAAAAGAUAAAGACGUCGCGCGACGAAACGUCAUAGCGAGGCACAUGCCUAUAAACUAUGAGUCUCUUUUAGAAAACUCGCGUGUAAUAUGUAAAAAACCACUAUGUGAAUUGAAUCAUCUUAGUAACAUAGAAUAAAAUCAAACGAGAACUUGUAAGUAACGGUGAGUGAAAGCGAUUUAGCUAAGUGCUAAAAAUCCGAAGGAGGUUAAAUAGUCCUAUAUAGCACUAACCAACACAAUAAAGUAAUACAAUUAAUUUUGUACGAAAAUAGGAGUACCAUCUUCUAAGCUAAAACACUUUUCUGAUCGAUAGUGAACGAGUACCGUGAGGGAAAGAUUUGAAUUUGUUGAUUUAUAUUUAUUUGAGGCUGAUAUUUACAGCGACAAAGUGCCUUUUGCAUAAUGAGUCAGUAAGUUAAUAUGUGUAGCAAGCUUAAAUAAUAAAUUAAGGCCAUUUUAGUUACACAUAUUAGACCCGAAGCCAAGUGAUCUAGUCUCAAGCAAGUUGAAGAUACUUUAAAAAGUAUUGAAGGACUGAACCCACGUCUGUUGAAAAAUACGGGGAUGACUUGAGACUAGGGGUGAAAGUCCAAUCAAACUUGGUGAUAGCUGGUUUUCCGCGAAAACUAUCAAAGUAGUACGUUGCUUUUUAUAAAUGUGGGUAGAGCUACUUAUUAAAUUUAGAUUUUGCUAAAUUUUCUUAAACUUCAAACUAUAUUUUACUAAAAGCAGCAGACAGUCAUUGGGCGAUAAGGUCCUUUGUCAAAAGGGAAACAACCCUAAUCGAUAGCUAAGAUCUCAAAAUUAUAAAUUAGUGACAAAACGGAGAAUAAUUCGAAUAAACAGGGUAGGCUUAGAAGCAGCCAUCUAUUGGAGAAAGCGUUUUAGCUCAUUAUUUUUAUUUAUUCUGUCCGUUUAAAAUUCAAAGAGACUUAAAUUUAUAUAUCGAAGCUUCGGAUCAAGUUAAAUGUAACUUGAUGGUAGCGGAACGUCCUGUAGUUUGUUAUGUCAAUGUUAAAUUGCAUAUGUAAAAUCAGGAGUGCUAAUGCUGACAUGAGUAGCGUUAACCGUGUUGAAAAUAAAUCACGGUCGUCUAUUGUUCAAGGGUUUCCAGUAAAUUUUAAGUAACUGGAAUUAGUCGGCCCUUAAGAAAAAAGUGAAAACUGUAUUUGACAGGAAAAAUCCACGUGUAUGCAAAUACUUUUUGUGUUUGUGUAAAAAAGUAAUUCUCACUUUUUACCCAUUAAACUGGUAAAAAUUAAAACUACUUUUCAGGAAAAGUUACAUGUAGCUUGACCGUACCUAAAACCGACACAGGUGAAUUUAUUGAAAAAAUAAAGACGAAUGAGAUAACUAUAUUUAAGGAACUCGGCAAAUUUACUCCGUACGUUCGCAAAAAGGAGUACCUUUUUUAGGUUUCAAGAAUCAGGGGUAGCGACUGUUUACCAAAAAAAUCUUAAAACUUUGCAAAUUCGAAAGAAGACGUAUAAGGUUUGACGCCUGCCCAGUGCUUGAAAGUGAAAUUAAUAUGUUAAUGCAUAUGCUAUAAACUCAAGUAAACGGCGGUCUUAACUAUAAGGAUCCUCAGGUAGCGAAAUUCCUUGGCGGGUAAAUUCCGUCCUGCAUGAAUGGCGUCACGACUACCCCACUGUCUCUAAUAUAGCCUCAGCGAAAUUACAUUGUCUGUGAAAAUGCAGACACCCUACAACAAGACGGAAAGACCCUAUGAUUCUUUACUAUAAUUUUGCAUCGUAAUCGUUUUUUUCAUAGUACAGUAAAAGUAGAAACGUAAUAGCGUAAAUUUGAAAAACUACUCUAAGAGAAAAAAAUUACUUACUAAGAAGGAAAUAUGCAAAAAGGGUAGUUUACUUGGGACGAGGACCUCCUAAACUGUAACGGAGGUGCACAAAAGUGAAUUUUAACUAUCAAACACUGGUAGUAAAAAACGUAAUGGUAAAAAUUUGCUUGACGGUAAGAGUUACCACUCAAGCCGAGACGAAAGUCGGUCAUAAUGAUCCGGCAGUAACGCAUGGAAAUACUGUCGCUUAUCGGAAAAAAGAAACUCUAGGGAUAACAGAUUUAUCAUGGUUGAGAGUUCUUAUUGAUACCAUGGAUUAAUACCUCGAUGUCGGCCCUAUCUGUUGUGGGAAUAGAAAAGAAAAAAGUUUAUCUUUAGUACGAGAGGAUUAAGAUAUAUUAACCAAUAGUGCAUCGGUUGUAUUGUUUCAUGCAUAGCCGAGUAGCCACGUUAACAUUAUAUAAGUGCUGACAGCUUAAAAGCACAAAAAUAACUUUUAGCCUUUUCAGGAACAUUCUAAAAGAUUAUUAGAUAGAUCGGUUUGUUAUUAAAUACUUGUAAAAGUAAGUAAACAAAUACGAAAUGUUCAUUAUACUUUAUUAUUAUAUUUAAGAACGGGCCCACCCGUUCUUAAUUA
rnacentral:rRNA from 1 species